AUAUCCCACUAGAUAUUCCGAAUCAGUUGAAGAAAUGGAAAUCUUAAGUUGCAUCAAAAUUUGACCAAACCCAUCAAUCAAGAUGUUUGAUUUUCUGAAACCACCCAUUUCAAUUAAGGCCAACUCCAUGGUAAUGCUUCCAAGCUCUUCACGCGGGUGGCACCUUUCUGACUUACCUCAUGGGUCCUGAAGAUAGUGGUAAAUGCAUUAAGUUCCAUCCAUCGAAGCAAUAACUCCUCGCUUCUUUGAUACUUGAAAAAAGGUAAGUUUACUGCACAGUAGCCACCAA